UGGCCUCCUGAGGUGCUGGGAUUGCAGA
rnacentral:piRNA from 1 species